rnacentral:rRNA from 1 species
UGAAGAGAGGAGCUUGCUCUUCUUGGAUGAGUUGCGAACGGGUGAGUAACGCGUAGGUAACCUGCCUUGUAGCCGGGGGAUAACUAUUGGAAACGAUAGCUAAUACCGCAUAACAAUGGAUGACACAUGUCAUUUAUUUGAAAGGGGCAAUUGCUCCACUACAAGAUGGACCUGCGUUGUAUUAGCUAGUAGGUGAGGUAACGGCUCACCUAGGCGACGAUACAUAGCCGACCUGAGAGGGUGAUCGGCCACACUGGGACUGAGACACGGCCCAGACUCCUACGGGAGGCAGCAGUAGGGAAUCUUCCACAAUGGGCGCAAGCCUGAUGGAGCAACACCGCGUGAGUGAAGAAGGGUUUCGGCUCGUAAAGCCCUGUUGUUAAAGAAGAACACGUAUGAGAGUAACUGUUCAUACGUUGACGGUAUUUAACCAGAAAGUCACGGCUAACUACGUGCCAGCAGCCGCGGUAAUACGUAGGUGGCAAGCGUUAUCCGGAUUUAUUGGGCGUAAAGAGAGUGCAGGCGGUUUUCUAAGUCUGAUGUGAAAGCCUUCGGCUUAACCGGAGAAGUGCAUCAGAAACUGGAUAACUUGAGUGCAGAAGAGGGUAGUGGAACUCCAUGUGUAGCGGUGGAAUGCGUAGAUAUAUGGAAGAACACCAGUGGCGAAGGCGGCUACCUGGUCUGCAACUGACGCUGAG